rnacentral:rRNA from 1 species
UACGUAGGGAGCAAGCGUUGUCCGGAAUCAUUGGGCGUAAAGCGCGUGUAGGCGGUCCGGUAAGUCGGUUGUGAAAGUCCAGGGCUCAACCCUGGGAUGCCGAUCGAUACUGCCGGACUAGAGUCCGGAAGAGGCGAGUGGAAUUCCCGGUGUAGCGGUGAAAUGCGCAGAUAUCGGGAGGAACACCAAUGGCGAAGGCAGGUCUCUGGGCAUUAACUGACGCUGAGGAGCGAAAGCAUGGGGAGCGAACAGG